rnacentral:ncRNA from 2 species
CUGGCCUGACGUGGCGAUUUGGUCGACCGGCUUGCGGACCACGUAAAAAAAUCCGCUAAAAGGUCGGAGCUUAUUGAAA